GAAGUUUUGGUAGUUGGGACUACCAUGAGACUGUGUUUUUGUUGUUACUGUUGUUGCAUGCUGCUACCACUGCUUACCGAUCUCCUUAUUAUACCGUGCACAAAAGAAAGAAAAGAGGCUAGACUAAACUAUGAAUUACAAAAUCUUAUGUAUCUUCAACUUGCUCUUGUUGCCUUGCUUUCUUGUCGGCUUGUGUUUCUUCCGGUGCUUUUUCUUCCUGACUUGACUUGAAGUCUUCCUUCUGAUUUCUGCGGCAAGAUUUAUGCUGGGGGUAUUUUUU
rnacentral:lncRNA from 1 species